rnacentral:lncRNA from 1 species
UUUCCUCCCAUACCCUUGCGCAUGACGGCUGGCGACGAGUGUCGCCAAUUUUCGAUCGGAAAAGAGACCCCUGUUUUGGACCUCUUUUUCUUUGAUUUUCCGACGCCGGCGAUCGCAAUCGACCGCCGGCCAUACCUCUCUGUGACCGAAGGAAUGGCCCCCUCUGCCGCCGACCUCCGCCGCGACGGUCGUGGCCGGAAUGGCCCGGCACAAGGAGGGGACCGCCGUCCCCUGUUCGGCCUGGA